UCCUUGUUUAUCACUAAUGCCUUUAAUUGAACCUACGAUGAUACCAACCGUACCAAAAUUAGCGAAGCUUACUAAGUAAACUGAAAUGAUACCUUGUGUACGAGCUGAUAC
rnacentral:sRNA from 1 species